rnacentral:rRNA from 1 species
GCAUAUCAAUAAGCGGAGGAAAAGAAACCAACAGGGGAUUGCCUCAGUAACGGCGAGUGAAGCGGCAAAAGCUCAAAUUUGAAAUCUGGCACCUCUGGGUGUCCGAGUUGUAAUUUGGAGAGGAUACUUCGGGCAUGGUUGCAGCAUAAGUCCCUUGGAACAGGGUGUCAUAGAGGGUGAGAAUCCCGUCUUAAGUUGUUAACCAUGUCCAUGCGAAGUUCCUUCGACGAGUCGAGUUGUUUGGGAAUGCAGCUCUAAGUGGGUGGUAAAUUUCAUCUAAAGCUAAAUAUUGGCCAGAGACCGAUAGCGAACAAGUAGAGUGAUCGAAAGGUUAAAAGCACCUUGAAAAGGGAGUUAAAUAGCACGUGAAAUUGUUGAAAGGGAAGCGCUUGCAACCAGACUCGGUCACAGGGGCUCAGCAGGCAUGCGUGUCUGUGUACUCCCCUGUGUUCGGGCCAGCAUCAGUUCUGGCGGUUGGUUAAAGGCCCUUGGAAUGUAUCGUCCUCCGGGACGCCUUAUAGCCAAGGGUGUAAUGCGGCCAGCCGGGACUGAGGAACGCGCUUCGGCACGGAUGCUGGCGUAAUGGUUGUAAGCGGCCCGUCUUGAAACACGGACC